rnacentral:rRNA from 1 species
UGGGCUAAUACCCCGUGGGGAUGACGGUACCUGAGACUAAGCACCGGCUAACUUCGUGCCAGCAGCCGCGGUAAUACGAAGGGUGCAAGCGUUAAUCGGACCACUGGGCGUAAAGGGUGCGUAGGCGGUUCUUUAAGACUGUGUGAAAUCCCCGGGCUCAACCUGGGAAUGGCGAUGGAUACUGGCGAGCUAGAGUGUGUCAGAGGAUGGUGGAAUUCCCGGUGUAGCGGUGAAAUGCGUAGAGAUCUGGAGGAACAUCAAUGGCGAAGGCGGCCAUCUGGGACAACACUGACGCUGAUGCACGAAAGCGUGGGGAGCAAACAGGAUUAGAUACCCUGGUAGUCCACGCCCUAAACGAUGC